UAGUCUCGCACAGAUGCAUAUCAAUAAGCGGAGGAAAAGAAACUAACAAGGAUUCCCCUAGUAACGGCGAGUGAAGCGGGAAGAGCUCAAAUUUGAAAUCUUAAAGGGUUUCCCUUUACGAAUUGUAGUUUAAAGAAGUGUUUUCUGUUGAGGUUUUGGUAAAAGUUCUUUGGAAUAGGACAUCAUAGAGGGUGAGAAUCCCGUAGUUUGACCUUUACUUUCAACUUUGUGAUACACUUUCAAAGAGUCGGAUUGUUUGGGAAUGCAGUCCAAAAUGGGUGGUAAAUUUCAUCUAAAGCUAAAUAUUGGCGAGAGACCGAUAGCGAACAAGUACCGUGAGGGAAAGAUGAAAAGAACUUUGAAAAGAGAGUUAAACAGUACGUGAAAUUGUCAAAAGGGAAGCGUUUGACACCAGUGUUGUUUUUCUGAAAAUCAAUUAAAGAACUGUUUAUGCUAAGCUGUUUAGACUUUAUCAGCUAUCUGUUUAGUUUUGAGCUUUUCUUUAAUGCACUUUUCAGUUAACAAGUCAACAUCAAUUUCUUUUGCUGUAAAAAAGCUUGAGGAAGGUGGCUUGAGAUUCGUCUUAAGUGUUUAUAGCCUCCUGCCUAUGCAGUCGGAGAGAUUGAGGUCUGCAGCGUAGAUCCUUCGGGGCUAAAUGCAUUUGUGCUAAGUUAUAGCAUUUUAUAGACAACUUGUUGACUAUGAUUAGUCUUGUAGCUUACUCGCUUAUGCUAUUUUACCUACGCUUAGGAUGUUGAUGUGAUACUGCGAGCA
rnacentral:rRNA from 1 species